GAAUACAGUGCUUCCUCACAGCAUAUGGGUACCACAAUUCGAUCAGAGAGGCCCUUUAAACUGUUGGCCUUAAGCAGGGUUGGACUUGGUUAGUACUUGGAUGGGAGACCACCUAGGAAGACCAAGUGCUGUAGAUG
ensembl:rRNA 5S_rRNA 5S ribosomal RNA